rnacentral:lncRNA from 1 species
UUUAAUGAAUAAUUUAAUAAAUCUGUCAAUAAAAUAAAAUAAAACAUAUUUACUUAUAGAUUGGAAGACAUUUUACUAUAAUAUCUUCAUUAUUUUAUAAACAAGUUUACUUUAAAAAUUUGAAUUUUUUACCUCAAGUGACAUAUUUUUAGGGUUCUACUAAUGCCACUACAGUAUCCUAAAAUUUGACCAAAACCUCAUGAAAAUUUCAAUGAAAAUCUAGUCAAUUUUUUCUUUUUGCUAAUUCCACCACAACCAUUUCACCAUGGUUCUCUCCCUCCC